CAAUAGCGUAUAUUAAAGUUGUUGCAGUUAAAAAGCUCGUAGUUGGAUUUCUGUUAAAAGCAAGUAGCCCACUCUUUGAGUGUUGUGUUUACGUCGUUUUUGACAUUUUUCUGUUUUUCGGUUGGUGUUCUUUAUUGAGUAUUCAAUCCGUGAACAGAACAUUUACUUUGAGAAAAUUAGAGUGUUCUAGGCAGGCUAUCGCCCUGAAUACUGCAGCAUGGAAUAAUAAUAUAGGAUUUCAAUUCUAUUUUAUUGGUUCUAAGGAUUGAAAUAAUGAUUAAUAGGGACAGUUGGGGGCAUUCGUAUUUAACUGUCAGAGGUGAAAUUCUUAGAUUUGUUAAAGACGAACUACUGCGAAAGCAUUUGCCAAGGAUGUUUUCAUUAA
rnacentral:rRNA from 1 species